rnacentral:rRNA from 1 species
UACAGAGGUCUCAAGCGUUGUUCGGAUUCAUUGGGCGUAAAGGGUGCGUAGGUGGCGUCGUAAGUCAGGUGUGAAAUCUCGGAGCUUAACUCCGAAACUGCAUUCGAUACUGCCGUGCUUGAGGACUGGAGAGGAGACUGGAAUUUACGGUGUAGCGGUGAAAUGCGUAGAUAUCGUAAGGAAGACCAGUGGCGAAGGCGGGUCUCUGGACAGUUCCUGACGCUGAGGCACGAAGGCCAGGGGAGCAAACGGG